GAUGAACGCUGGCGGCGUGCCUAAUACAUGCAAGUCGAGCGAACAGAUGAUGAGCUUGCUGCUCUGACGUUAGCCGCGGACGGGUGAGUCACACGUGUAUAACCUACCUAUAAUACUGGGAUAACUUCGGGACACGGGAGCUUAUACCGGAGAAUCUAUUGAACCGCGUGGUUCAAUGGUGAAAUACGGUUUUGCUGUCACGUAUAGAUGGAUCCGCGCCGCAUUAGCUAGUUGGUAAGGUAACGGCUUACCAAGGCAACGAUGCGUAGCCGACGUGAGAGACGGAUCGGCCACACGGGAACUGAGACAGCGUCCAGGGUACUACGGGACGCAGCAGUAGGGAACGUGACGCAGUGGGCGAAAGCCUGACGGAGCAACGCGGAGUGAGUGAUGACGGUCUUGGGAUCGUAAAAAUCUGUUAUUAGGGAAGAACAAAUGUGUAAGUAACUAUGCACGUCUUGACGGUACCUAAUCAGAAAGCCCCGGCUAACUACGUG
rnacentral:rRNA from 1 species